UGGAAGGGCCAUCGCUCAACGGAUAAAAGGUACUCCGGGGAUAACAGGCUGAUACCGCCCAAGAGUUCAUAUCGACGGCGGUGUUUGGCACCUCGAUGUCGGCUCAUCACAUCCUGGGGCUGAAGUAGGUCCCAAGGGUAUGGCUGUUCGCCAUUUAAAGUGGUACGCGAGCUGGGUUUAGAACGUCGUGAGACAGUUCGGUCCCUAUCUGCCGUGGGCGCUGGAGAACUGAGGGGGGCUGCUCCUAGUACGAGAGGACCGGAGUGGACGCAUCACUGGUGUUCGGGUUGUCAUGCCAAUGGCACUGCCCGGUAGCUAAAUGCGGAAGAGAUAAGUGCUGAAAGCAUCUAAGCACGAAACUUGCCCCGAGAUGAGUUCUCCCUGAGACUUAAAGUCUCCUGAAGGAACGUUGAAGACGACGACGUUGAUAGGCCGGGUGUGUAAGCGCAGCGAUGCGUUGAGCUAACCGGUACUAAUGAACCGUGAGGC
rnacentral:rRNA from 1 species